rnacentral:rRNA from 1 species
UNUGACUUGAGUGCAGAAGGGGAGAGUGGAAUUCCAUGUGUAGCGGUGAAAUGCGUAGAUAUAUGGAGGAACACCAGUGGCGAAAGCGGCUCUCUGGUCUGUCACUGACGCUGAGGCUCGAAAGCGUGGGUAGCGAACAGGAUUAGAUACCCUGGUAGUNCACGCCGUAAACGAUGAGUGCUAGGUGUUAGGCCCUUUCCGGGGCUUAGCGCCGGAGCUAACGCAAUAAGCACUCCGCCUGGGGAGUACGACCGCAAGGUUGAAACUCAAAGGAAUUGACGGGGGCCCGCACAAGCGGUGGAGCAUGUGGUUUAAUUCGAAGCAACGCGAAGAACCUUACCAGGUCUUGACAUCCCGAUGCUAUUCUUAGAGAUAGGAAGUUACUUCGGUACAUCGGAGACAGGUGGUGCAUGGUUGUCGUCAGCUCGUGUCGUGAGAUGUUGGGUUAAGUCCCGCAACGAGCGCAACCCUUAUUGUUAGUUGCCAUCAUUAAGUUGGGCACUCUAGCGAGACUGCCGGUAAUAAACCGGAGGAAGGUGGGGAUGACGUCAAAUCAUCAUGCCCCUUAUGACCUGGGCUACACACGUGCUACAAUGGUCGGUACAACGAGUUGCGAGCCGGUGACGGCAAGCUAAUCUCUGAAAGCCGAUCUCAGUUCGGAUUGGAGGCUGCAACUCGCCUCCAUGAAGUCGGAAUCGCUAGUAAUCGCGGAUCAGCACGCCGCGGUGAAUACGUUCCCGGGCCUUGUACACACCGCCCGUCACACCACGAGAGUUUGUAACACCCGAAGUCGGUGAGGUAACCUUUUAGGGGCC